rnacentral:lncRNA from 1 species
AAUGUCCGCCUUCAGCUUGAAUGCACGCCUCACAUCGACGAAGUAAAGAUUCUAUCACACGACGUAUGAUUUUUGGAUCAUUCCGUAUGCUAUUAGCUGCAUCUUGAAUUCUGUCCAGUAGUUGCUGACGGGUAGUCAUUUCUACAUGGUACACAAGCUGCUUCAUGUGUCCCCAGAAAUAAUAAUCCAGCGGAUUUAGAUCUGGGGAUCGUGGUGGCCAGACUACUGGCCAAUCUAAUUAACUACCUCCAUUGCCAAUCCAUUUGUUUGGAAAAUGUUCAUGUAACCAAGCGAUGACUUCUCUUCCUCGAUGUGGUGGUGCACCAUCGUGCUGAUACCACAUAUUUUGAACGAUGUUAAGUGGUACAUCGUCGAUAAAAUCGAAAAGGUUAUGUCCCAAGAAAUUUCUGUACAUAUUUGCAUUUAAGCGUUCAUUUAUCACCCAUACAGGUAGCAAAGAAUUGUUAAAAAUGCCACCCCAAACGUUUACACUAAACCGUUGCUGAAAUCUUCCUGGUCUAAUUGCAUGUGGAUUUUGCAAGGACUACACAUGUUCGUUAUGAUAAUUAUUUAUGCCGUCCCUAUUUAAUCGUUAUGUUGAAACUCAAUUCGAUCGAAUCGGUCCCUCUUAGGAAUAAAAAAUGGACAGGAAUCGGGAAAGCUUCGGUUCGGAUAAUUAUUCUUCAAUCGGAUCUUGUUGCGAGAGUGCGGAAAUUUUUCAGGAACACAGGUAAUUUCUCCUCAGUUUAUUUUCGAUAUUUAAAUUUAUUAAAUUCAAUUUAAUUCUUCUUCUUUUCUUUCUUAGGUUAUAUAAAAUCGUGAUUCGACGUUAAAUUUGGAUUGAAAUCGGAGAACCAAUUUAAGCGGUGCAUUGGAGGUUUCAAGAUUCUCCAACCACAAAAGAAGUUUGAAUUUUACAAAUUUUAAAUUCAAUUUUCAAAGUCAAAAUCGUUCAAAAUCUUUCGGAAUCUAAUAAAUUAGAUGUAGCUGACACUGAUUUUACCGUUUUGGAUGGUUUAGAAAGGAUAUUAACAGUUUUGAGAGAAUUAUGAGUAACUAAAAAGUAACUGUCAACUAAAUUGAGGUUAUGUUUCUUUCUCAGGUGAAACUUGUCUCGGAAGCUUUAUUAUAAUACCAUCUCUCAAGAUUGGGCAA